CUUCGCCGGAAGGCGUGGGUAAUCUUGUGAAACAUCGUCGUGCUGGGGAUAGAUCAUUGCAAUUAUUGAUCUUGAACGAGGAAUUCCUAGUUAAUUAGGGACUGUGCUUAUG
rnacentral:ncRNA from 1 species